UGGGGAAUUUUGGACAAUGGGCGCAAGCCUGAUCCAGCCAUGCCGCGUGCAGGAUGAAGGCCUUCGGGCUGUAAACUGCUUUUGUACGGAACGAAAAGACUCCUUCUAAUAAAGGGGGUCCAUGACGGUACCGUAAGAAUAAGCACCGGCUAACUACGUGCCAGCAGCCGCGGUAAUACGUAGGGUGCGAGCGUUAAUCGGAAUUACUGGGCGUAAAGCGUGCGCAGGCGGUUAUGCAAGACAGAGGUGAAAUCCCCGGGCUCAACCUGGGAACUGCGCUUGUGACUGCUAAGCUAGAGUACGGCAGAGGGGGAUGGAAUUCCGCGUGUAGCAGUGAAAUGCGUAGAUAUGCGGAGGAACACCGAUGGCGAAGGCAAUCCCCUGGACCUGUACUGACGCUCAUGCACGAAAGCGUGGGGAGCAAACA
rnacentral:rRNA from 1 species